UGAUCAACAUUAUAUCACAUUUCUGUGUGGAACCCUGAUGCGGAUGUUAGCUGAGCUUCGCUGAGAAAUCCCUUGAAAUGAUCACUUUCUGAUUCUAUUGCGAGAGACAUUGCUGAACAUUUCAAAAUGUAGUUAAUCAAGGCAUGUAUAGAGCUACUGGGCUGAAUCAACAAGAAUGGACAUUACAUUCGCUGAAUUUACGUGCAAUGACUCCCCUGUCCAAUUGAGGUGAGUAGUCUAAUGUUCAUUUUUUUGAAUAAGAGUUUCUCCAAGGUUCCAUUAAUCAAUUCAUUUAUUUGUUCAUUUAUCUAUUGGUUUAUUUAUUUAUUUAUUUAUUCAUUUUUUGUUUUUUAAUCCACAUCUGAUUUUAUUAAUUUCAUUUCAAUUACUUUUACUUUUUUCUUCAUCAUAUGUGUAGUACUCUGGUUACAAUCGGAGUAGUAAAACUAGCUGUUAAAGCUUGUAUGUACUUGUAUCAUAAAUUUCCUGGUUCAUGUAUAUUAGAACAUGUAGAAACUGAAAGUAAUAUUAUGAGUACUUAUGCCGUGUAGUAGGUUGUGCAGCUACAUGUACUUUUAUUAAUGAUAAAUUAAUAAAUUAUGAAUAUAAAUUUUCACACUGUUUGAAAUGAGGCUUCCUUUGUGUUGAGCUUAAAGGGGAUUCAAACCUUGAUAUCAAACUACUCUAGAGGAAAGCAGAAAAAGCUGUAAUCAUCAUUAAAAGGUAUGGGCUCUUCAAGUUAGCUGAAUCAGUAAUGUCUUUGUGAUGAAGUGGCGGACAACGUUCAAAUUGUUCCAAAUCACAAAAUGUCUGAAUUUAAUUUCCCCCCCAAAUUUAUAACUCAGAAGGGUCAAUUCUCUUUAGAGGACCUAUAAUAAUCUGCUAUCCACAGUAUAUUUUGAGUAGUGCCCAAAAUGAGAUGGCACUAUGGAGAAAAACUAAAAUUAAUGAUAUGUGCAUGGCAAAUAGGGUCUUAAGCCGUGCUCUGUGUGCAACAGGGGCCCAGGCAUUUCCUUUUGUGUAGGAUGGGUUGGCCUGUAACAAAGAAUUCUGUGCACAACAUUGAAAGGAAUCAAUACUCCUGUUAGAGAAAAUUCAUUGAUUUGAGUUUAGAGAGGGAUACUCGAUCAAUGUAAAUUGUUAAGUGUAUUUCAUGACUUAAAGAAUAAAGAAUAAUUGUGUUCAAAGGGUUGUUUUCAGGAAUUUUAGAUUACCUUUAUAUCAAUAUCCGAUGCAGGUAAACACUACUCCCAUUCUGAACUGACUGAACUAAACCUAACCAUAUCUGUUGUACAUGAAGUAUUCUUAGUCCAAAUGGAUGUUAAUUGUUUGGGAUAUCACUUUUGCAAUAAAAGAAUUAAAGAAACUGGUACAAAUAGCUUUAAAACAAAAAGGCUGGUACAUAAAGAAACGCUGGCACUGAAUGUAAAAUACAACAUGUAUGGUGUUGGUCUAAUAAUCAUUAGUCAUGUCAUUGCUUCUAAACGUGUAAUUCAGUUUAUCAGAAUGACAGUUUGAUACAAAAUGAUGUAUGGUAUCAUUAAGCUCACAAUUGAGGAAGUAGAGUUAAUUACUAUCAUAUCCUGAUGGUAUGGUCUUGUAUGAGUGCAAUAAAUCAUACAUGUAACUUUUGAUGAUCAGGGCUUUUUUUUUUUUUUUUUUUACACAUGUGAAUUAAUGUAUAUACUGCUUUUUAUAUUUUGCCAAGCUACUUUAUUACAUGCAUACACAUUUAUGUAAAAUGUACCGGUAAAUAAAUAUAUAGUGCUCUUACAAU
rnacentral:lncRNA from 1 species